AGACCCCUUCUCUCUCCCUCUCAUCCACUCUCCGUCUGUCCCUCUCCCAGCGCCGGCCCUAGAGAUCUCUCCCACCUCUCUUAUCCUGUCGAUCUCUUCACGAACAUCAGCUGCUGGCGAUUCAGAGGCUGCAAAAUGGUAAUUCAGUCAUCGGGCCAGCACCCAAAACGUGUCCGGCUGAUAAAAGCUGCAGGGGAUAGGAUGACGCUGAACUUUCAUGGGAUUUGGUUAAUUUUACUCAAAAUGCUGCUCCAACAAGAUCACAUCUCUUUAUGGUGGGCCUUUGGAAUUCUUAUUUGUAGUUGAAAGUACAGAAGAUCCAGCUUACCAUGCUGUAUCUCAGCUGAUCAAAGAAUAUGAGGUAAAUAAUCUCUUUAAAUCUUCCAGGGUACCAUUCUCUGUUUUUGAUGAUAGAAUCUUCCAAGGACACGUUCUUAUCCACUCAACAUUCAAUCUAUCACUUCUUUGGGCAGUAAAACAACAGGGUUUGUUCUGUCACUGCUACCCUUCAGCAACACUAUGAUUCCAUCACCUGCUGCCUUCACCUUCUUACUAUGGGUACAUCGACAAAAGCUUUGAGUAGCAUGUUGAUGCCAGGGUUCUGUAUGCAUUACUAGAUUUGCUGACGGUUAAAUGAUUAAAGAUCAUUGUGAAUGAAUGAAUAUAAUUUAAAAUCAUAUAUGAAGACUUCUUUGGGGGUAAAAAGAAAAAAAGUUCAACAAAGCUGAAGUCCUUCGAUGGAUCUGAAGAACUGAGCAUAGCUGAGAAACAAGAAGAUGAUAAAGGAACUCUUUCAACCCAUGAGAAAGAGCUUCAAAAGAUCUGCUCUAAAAUUGAGCAGAUGGAGAAAGAGAACUUGGAAACUAAGGCUUGGACUAUGCAGGGAGAGGUAACCACCAGUAAAAGGCCGAAGAACAAUGCACUCAAGGUUGAUCUGGAUUUUGAGCACAAUGUAAGACCACCUCCUGUGAUCACAGAAGAGGUUACAGCAUCCCUUGAAGAAUUAAUUACAAAAAGGAUUAUUGAGUUUUGAGUUCCGUCUUAGAGUGGCUCUUACGUUGAAUGGAGAUCUCACCAUGAUAUCGCGGAUUAGGAACCUAGACAGCAAGCCAUUUAGUUUCUCCUUUGCUUUCCACACAUAUUUCUUUGUUUCUGUCAUCAGGAAUUUCAAUGGGAGCUGUUGCUGGAAUCUCUGUUGCAGCGGUUGCCAUUAUACUAUUUCUAGUUUUGUCUAUACAUUGGUGCGUCUAGAAGAAAGAAACUGAAGAAGGCAUCAUUGCUUCGACCACCUUUCGAAGAUAACUCUAUUCACCAUGGAUAAGGUAAAUCUCUUGGUUAGGCAUUAAUCUCUACAUUUUCCUUUUAGGAAUGCUCCAAGGUUCCGACGAGGCCAUGGCAAUCUGAAAGUGAUUCAUGUUAGGAAAGAUUGAAUAAGGUGGUUUGUCGCUCCUGAGGUAUUCAAUAACGGCAAUGGCCAGCAUAAUAGGUGGUUGUUGAACUGUUUUAUGGGCUGUAAUGGUCGAUUUUCAUUACCUAUUUCAUCA